rnacentral:snoRNA from 1 species
UCGCAGUGAUGACGUAAUUUCCUGCCAUUCGUAGUUUACACCAGAGGUCGAAAGACCAGAGAUGGCCCAAAUCUUCCUUGGAUGUCUGAGCGA